rnacentral:rRNA from 1 species
CCUACGGGUGGCAGCAGUAGGGAAUUUUGCGCAAUGGGGGAAACCCUGACGCAGCAACGCCGCGUGAUCGAUGAAGCCCUUCGGGGUGGAAAGAUCUGUCAGUGGGGACGAAACCUGACGGUACCCACAGAGGAAGCACCGGCUAACUCCGUGCCAGCAGCCGCGGUAAUACGGGGGGUGCAAGCGUUGUCCGGAAUCAUGGGGCGUAAAGAGUUCGUAGGUGGCACGUUAAGUCUGGUGUUAAAGGCGGAAGCUCAACUUCCGUAGGGCACUGGAUACUGGCGAGCUUGAAGGCGGUAGAGGUAAAGGGAAUUCCUGGUGUAGCGGUGAAAUGCGUAGAGAUCGGGAGGAACACCAGUGGCGAAGGCGGCCUACUGGGCUUUAACUGACGCUGAGGCACGAAAGCGUGGGUAGCAAACAGGAUUAGAUACCCGAGUAGU